GGUCCUUUUCUAGGGCGGUCGCACAGGCAGCGGCAGUGCGAAGCUGGCUUCAGCCAACAUGUACUACAAGUUUAGCAGUUUCACGCAGAAGUUGGCUAGUGCUUGGGCUUCGGAAGCCUAUACUCCGCAGGAAGCAGAUGUAACAGGAUCAGGAGUUCAAGACCAGCCUGGGCUGCAAGUGAGUUAAAGGCCAGCUCAGGAUACAUGGACCUGUUGUGAGCCACCAUGGCAGAAACCAAAAAAGGGUUUUAAGCCGGUUUCCAGAGAAGCACCGCCUAUCAUAUUUGCCACACCGACCAAACUGACCUCCAGUGUGACAGCAUAUGACUAUGCUGGGAAGAAUAAAGUUCCAGAGCUACAGAGAUUCUUCCAGAAGGCUGACGGUGUGCCCAUCCACCUGAAACGAGGCCUUCCGGACCAAAUGCUUUACCGGACCACCAUGGCUCUCACAGUGGGAGGGACCAUCUACUGCCUGAUCGCCCUCUACAUGGCCUCGAAGCCCAAAAACAAAUGAAUUUGCCUGUGGAGGACUGGUUUACUUUGUGACACAAACCCUUUGAAUUCUCGAGUUUCAUUUUUUCCCCCCUUGGAUAGUCUCCUUAACAUUUUGCAAACAAAGGAAAAGAUAAGAAUACACUGGUUUGUUUAUGGCGUGCAGAUGGCCUGUCAGAUGUCAGCUUGUUUUACAGUUAGAACUAUUGUUUAAGGAAAUGACACCAAGCCAUCGCUGAGCCAUCGUGCUCCUGGUCUCCCACGAGAUUCUGGGUGAAAGUUGUUCACAAACUCACUCAUGGCCAGCAGUGCUCAGGGCCUCCGGGACU
rnacentral:lncRNA from 1 species